GUCGGUUAUGGUGAUAUGCGUCCAGUAUGUGUCUGGGGUAAAUUUGUUGGCUCUCUAUGUGCCAUCGCCGGUGUAUUGACCAUUGCAUUACCGGUACCGGUUAUUGUAUCAAAU
rfam:Euroglyphus maynei isolate Arlian Lab scaffold2226, whole genome shotgun sequence.